UAAAUAUUUUGGAGCUAAAUACUUAGCAGAUUUACUAAAUAUUUAUGUAAACCAGUGGAAGAAAUGCUGCCAUUUUAAUAACCUUAUUAAUCCAGUUCAGUAAUAAAUCUGUCAGUAAAAUUGUUGUUUUACUAAAGUAGGUUUUAUUGGCUUAAUUUAGCACUAGUACUAUAAAACUCUAUCCCUUAUAGUCUGUAUAACGUGUCAAUCAUAGACAUGUUCCCAGGAAGAGUUCUUAUUGGCUGUAUAAGGAAAUGCUGACUUCUGAUUAGUGAGACCGCUUAAGUCCCGCCCUGAAAAUUGGCACUUCCGGGAAGAAAUUCGAAGAGAGACGGAGCAGAUCCGAUGUUAAACUAUGAAGAGAGAAAUGGAGAAUUUUGAGAGAUUAAAACGUUUGAGAUUUAUGUUACCUGUCCGAAGAACGGUGUGUGGUCCUACAGGCCCGAGGUUGAGGACAAGAACGAGAAGAAUGAAACAUUUGGCGAAGUUUUGGGGACCAAAUGACAGCGGCGGUGUGUGUGUUUGGAGGCAGAGGUGGAAGUAGAUGGCUGCAGAUGUGAUGGUGAAACCCCUGGGCCACGCUGCUUUGAGGGAGAAACUGGAGAUUAGACUGGAGGUGUGAGCUUGCAAUGCUGACAUCUUUGCAGAUGAUUGAUUCACCCCGUCUGGCCGGAGUGGAGAGGAUGGAUCCUCCCUGGGGCGAAGGCUCCAGCGCAGUGUCACCUCACCAGAUACGGACCUUCCACUCCUCUAACCUCCCCCAACUCUAUUUGUCUUCUGCAAGCUGCUGCAAUCAGUGCAGGCCUUGAUUGGACUUGGGCAGGUGAGUGGAGUACACUUUAAUCAUGACGCCAGUGCAUGCCAGAUUAUCCCCUCUGCAUGGGUGUGCAACCAGCGGAGGGGGUCUGUGUGACUGAAUUAAAGAGUUGCAUACAAAACCCUUUAUUUGUAUGCAGCUUUAGUCGGCCUGGACGAUAAAUUGUCCGGGAAGUUAUUGCAAUAAAUGAUAAUGUUGUUUUGAGACCAUUUUCCCGUAAUAAAAUGAUAAUACACUGUAAAAUCUAAUGGAGAUUUAACACUAGAAUUGGAAGACAUUUAAAAUAUCCAAACAAAACAACAAAUAAAAUGAAGUAUGAAGUCUCUGUAAGUAAAGUUGUCCUUAAAAAAGGCUAAAACAGCAGACUGAAGACUUUAGUCGCUCAGUUUUUGGUAGAAAUAGAGAGAGAAAAGAGAAAAAACAAUAAAUCAUGCAAAUGAAAAUUAGACCUGGUUUUAAUUCAUCAUUAAUUGAUUUUUGUCCUUACUGAAAAAGGCCUAAGUUAAACAUUUCUAACUAAACAUAAUCUACAUAUGUAGCUAGUGAAUAAAUAAUUUUUUGAGGUGCUAAAAGUACCCACAUGACCAUGAUUAACAGCACUAAGACCCGCCUUCUGGCUGUGAUUGGUUGUUUCUAAUUAACACUGAAAGAAAAAAAUGAGCUUGUGUUUUAUUUUUUUUCCUAACUUAUUUAUCUCAUAUUGUACUGUUACAGUCAAGGGUGUAGAUUUGGUCUAAGUUUUGGUGGGACCUUACAACUUACACUUAAGAUUUCAAAUGUGUGAAGCCAGAUAAUUUGUUCAAAAUGAUUCCCAGAUGUGGAAAAUUGAUUUUAAAUCAUUUCUUAAUUUGUGUCUGUUUAAUGUAUUUUGUCAUGCAGGACAAUGUUUUAAGUUCCAAAAUGUGUGAAUAAAUGUUUUUGCAACAUUGUGCAAUCACUGUGAUCAGUUCUUAUGCAUAAUGCACUUAAAUAAAUGUUUAACUGAGUAAAAGUAUUGUUGAAAUCCACAUACUUUUCCUAAAACCUCUGAGGUUUUUCAUAAUAUAUUUUGUAAAAGUGAAAUUUGUUUAAUAUAAAAAUCAACAAGUCCACUUUUAUUUUAGCUCUAUUUAAUCUUGCAAUGUUUACUUGUGUGGCCCCUGGAGGUCAGACUAAGCUGUAUGUGGCCCCUAAACCAAAGUGAGUUUGACCCCCCUGACUUAAAGCAUGAGAAAACGGAGGAAAUUUGAUAUCAGCCUUAACCGUCCAGUCUAUUAAUAUAUGAGAAGAUGCAUUUUAAUGUCUGAGCCUGACAGUAUUUGCAUCCCCUGUUUCUUCUCCUGUUGAUAUGAAACUUAUACCAAUAGUUUAGAGAACAAGAGUGAUUAUGUC